UGUCAAGAUGCUCUUGUUUUGGGUCACACUACACAUUCUUCUUCAUCAUGGAAAUUCAUUGGUUCCAGUGGUAACAGUUCAACUGGGCAAACCUGUGAUUUUUACAUGUGCUUUCACCAAGGAGUUUCAGAGCAUGGAUUGGAUUCACUGGUAUAAGCAGAAUGCAGGAGAUAAUCUCAAAUUAAUCUCAAUGGCACGUCAGACUACAAACCCCAUUUAUGGACAAGGAUUUUCCUCCACAAAUUAUAACACAACACUUAAUGACAAAAUGAGCAAUCUAACAAUCUUUAAAACUGCUACAGAAGAUGAGGGAUUGUAUCACUGUGGUCAUAUCAGUUGGUUCCAAUCUACGUGGAAUGGGACUUAUUUAUUAUUAAAAGGAAACCUUGAGUCAACAUCUGGCUCCCAUGUCGUUCAGCAGCCAGCUGUUUUAGAUCCAUCUGGUCCAGCAGACUCACAGAAGCUGGAGUGCUCUCUAUUCUCUCAGCCAGAGAGAAAUACUUGUUCAAUAGAGCCCAGCGUGUUCUGGUUCA